rnacentral:rRNA from 1 species
UACAGAGGAGCCAAGCGUUGUCCGGAUUGACUGGGCGUAAAGCGCACGCAGGCGGAUGCGCGCGUGGGGUGUGAAAUCUGGCCGCUUAACGGCCAGGCGCCAUCCCAUACGGCGCGUCUGGAGUGAUGCAGAGGUCGGUGGAAUUGCCGGUGUAGUGGUGAAAUGCGUAGAGAUCGGCGGGAACACCCAGGGGGAAACCAGCCGACUGGGCAUCGACUGACGCUGAGGUGCGAGAGCGUGGGGAGCGAACCGG